rnacentral:rRNA from 1 species
UACGUAGGGGGGCAAGCGUUGUCCGGAAUCAUUGGGCGUAAAGCGCGCGUAGGCGGCUUUGCAAGUCGGGUGUGAAAUCCCCAGGCUUAACCUGGGAACUGCAUUCGAGACUGCAUUGCUAGAGUAUGGGAGAGGGAAGUGGAAUUUCCGGUGUAGCGGUGAAAUGCGUAGAUAUCGGAAGGAACAUCAGUGGCGAAAGCGACUUCCUGGACCAAUACUGACGCUCAUGUGCGAAAGCGUGGGGAGCAA